rnacentral:rRNA from 1 species
CCUUCAAUUCCGGUUGAUCCUGCCGGACCCUACUGCUAUCGGGAUGGGACUAAGACAUGCUAGUCGAGCGUCUUCAGGCUAUGGUGAGGGCGCGGCGAACGGCUCAGUAACACGUGGCCAACCUACCCUUAGGACGGGGACAACCCCGGGAAACUGGGGCUAACACCUGAUAGGUGAGGAGGCCUGGAAUGGUUCCUCGCUGAAAGAGCGUUAAUACCAUGCUUUUUAAUGUUGCCUAAGGAUGGGGUCGCGGCCGAUCAGGUUGUUGGUGGGGUAACGGCUCACCAAGCCUAUAACCGGUACGNNNNNNNNNNNNNNNNNNNNNNNNNNNNGAUGGGCACUGAGACAAGGGCCCAGGCCCUACGGGGCGCAGCAGUUGCGAAACCUCCACAAUGCACGAAAGUGUGAUGGGGCUAACCCGAGUGCCGUCCGCUGAGGAUGGCUUUUCUCCGCUGUAAGGAGGCGGAGGAAUAAGGAGAGGGCAAGACUGGUGUCAGCCGCCGCGGUAAUACCAGCUCUCCGAGUGGUAGGGACGAUUAUUGGGCCUAAAGCGUUCGUAGCCGGCUUGGCAAGUCUCUCGUUAAAUCCAGCGACCUAAUCGUUGGGCUGCGGGGGAUACUGUCAGGCUUGGGAGCGGGAGAGGCCGACGGUAUUCUCGGGGUAGGGGUGAAAUCCUAUAAUCCCGGGAGGACCACCAGUGGCGAAGGCUGUCGGCUAGAACGCGCCCGACGGUGAGGGACGAAAGCUGGGGGAGCGAACCGGAUUAGAUACCCGGGUAGUCCCAGCUGUAAACUAUGCGGGCUAGGUGUCGGUGUGGCUACGAGCCACUCCGGUGCCGCAGGGAAGCUCAUAAGCCCGCCGCCUGGGAAGUACGGCCGCAAGGCUGAAACUUAAAGGAAUUGGCGGGGGAGCACCACAAGGCGUGAAGCUUGCGGUUCAAUUGGAGUCAACGCCGGGAACCUUACCGGGGGCGACAGCAGGAUGAAGGCCAGAUUGAAGGUCUUGCUGGACGAGCUGAGAGGAGGUGCAUGGCCGUCGCCAGUUCGUGCNNGUCAGGCAACGAUCGAGACCCGCGCCCCCUGUUGCUACCGCUCAUUCGUAUGGAUGGUGGGCACACUGGGGGGACCGCCGCCGACAAGGCGGAGGAAGGUGCGGGCUACGGCAGGUCAGUAUGCCCCGAAACCCCCGGGCCACACGCGAGCUGCAAUGGCAGGGACAAUGGGCUGCGACCCCGAGAGGGGAAGGUAAUCCCUAAACCCUGUCGUAGUUGGGAUCGAGGGCUGCAACCCGCCCUCGUGAAUCAUGGAAUCCCUAGUAAUCGCGUGUCAUCAUCGCGCGGUGAAUACGUCCCCGCUCCUUGCACACACCGCCCGUCGUUCCAUCUGAGUGGGGUUUGGAUGAGGCGUGGUCCUUGUGGCCAUGUCGAAUCCGGGUUCCGCAAGGAGGGAAAAGUCGUAACAAGGUGGCCGUAGGUGAACCUGCGGCCGGAUCACCUCCUAAGAAA